AAAACCAUACUAAAAUUCUUAACACCAUGGAUAUAUUUCCAUAGAGAAGAGCCAAAAUAACAUGUAUUGUUUCGGAUUUGAAUAUAGAACACUUCAGAAAUGAGAGAAUCGGAACUAUACUUCAGAGUUUCGCACAAAUUCAUCACUUCCAGUAAAAUAAUAAAUAAUCUACUACUACAUAUCAAUGACAUUUAAGAAGGAAGUAGGGGAGAUAGAUAAGAACUGAAUAGCUUAAAUGAACACAGGGAAAUUGAUAUUCAAAAAUAAAUAGGUUUAGUGCAUUUCAACAAAUUCCCUAUUUUCCAAACACAACAACCAAUUCAUGGCUUCAUUCAGUAUACCUGGAAACAAAAAGGGAAGAUAAAAUAGUGAAUAAUCAGCAAAUAUCAGCAACUAAAAUCAGCUCAAAACCAGCAAUGAAACAGUACCCCUUAAUAGCAACUCAAACCAAAUUUCGAAACCUCCAAAUUCAAGUCAUUUUCUACUUAAAUUUAAGACUUUGAAACUUUUCAAAAUUUCUAGCUAACAAAGAAGAUCGGACAACUGAAAACCAACAAAAUUUGAGCAUUUUCAACUAAGAAAUGCAGGGAUUUCAAUGUUCUUCUAGAGUUUUUCUCAUGACUCAACCUUUUCAGUUUUUUAAAAUUUGUAAUCUCUAAUUUCUGACUUGUGAAUGAAGAAAGAGUGCCUUUAUAGGCAAGCCUUAGGGUAGCAGAAAAUGAUUUUAGUUUUGUACUAAAAUCCUUUUGGUAUUUUCAUUUUUGAUGUCAUAUCCUUAGUUUAGAAAUAAAUUAUUCAUAUAAAUCCUAAUCCGACCUUCUAGGAAGCUUGCCUAUUCCGUUACAAGAGAUUCACCUACUUAAAAAUCCUAGACUACCCCUUAAACUCUUGAAAUUACUUCAAAAAUUUCAUAUGUCGAGUUUGACCCAAUGGCUUAAUCCAAAAUGAAUGUGCUACCCUUUGCAAAUGGAUCAGAAAUGACCCAAAGCCCAAACUAACAUCUGUAUUCUAUGAAAGACAGAAGAAAAGAAAAACCCAUUCAGAUGAUUUUUAAACUAAACCUAAAUAAAAUAACUAAUUACUAACCACAAGUGAGCAUGGAAUUAACUAACUUAUUAAAUUGAAAUAAACCUAAUUAAACUAAAAUAUGUGAUUAAAAUAACUUGGUGAAAUCAGAAGUUAACUAUUGCAUUAAACAAACUAAAUAGACCAAAAAUCAGAGUUAAAGGUGUGAAAAAGAGAAACAAAUAGAAGAAACUAACACAACUCAAUUCUAGGCUCAGAAACUUGGUUGAGCUUCAAGUAAGGUGAAAACUUAACCGAAGGAAAGGAGAGGAGAAGAAGAGGAAUAUGAGGUAAAAAUAAAAAUAAAAAAUGGAAAGCAAGAUGGAUAGAACUUACCGACUAAACUUGAAAUCACACUUGAUAACCUUACUUACACGAAACCGAUUCUAAUCACUUUUUCUUUGUCAAGAACAAAGGAACAACAUCAGUUUUGAAGUGAAUCAACCUUCCAAUCAUGAAAACCAAAGGCCUGGGUUGAUGCAUGCCACCGGGUUCAAUGAAAAUUGAUUUUGAACUUUUAGGGUUCGAACCUAGAUUGAAGAUUCUAGAGGUUCUGGCAAGAUUCGAGGGAAAAUGAGUAAGGAUUCAAAAAGGGAGGUGAAGGGGAGUCUUCGGUGUAGGUUUAGGGUGGAUUGGAGGCGGUGUCACCGGCUUGAGGUGGUGGAGAAAUAGGGCGGCGCUAGGGUUUAAGGGGCAUCUCUGAAGAUGAAGGAGAUGAGUUAGGGGGUAGGGGGUCAAUUCGGACAAUUACAUAUAAAAUGGGGCUUAGUUCCGGGCCAUCUGAUUGAAAGAGGUGAAAAGCUAGGAUUGGGGGUCAAAGAAACGGUUUCAUUUGGUCCUUG
rnacentral:lncRNA from 1 species